GCUGGUUUCGCUCAGUGGGUAGAGCAUCAGCUUUUAGACUGAAGGGUCCCAGGUUCCAUUCUGGGAAAGGGCA
rfam:Myotis lucifugus cont2.56957, whole genome shotgun sequence.